rnacentral:misc_RNA from 1 species
GUCGUCUCCUACCAUCAGCCAUAUCAACUGUCCAGUCCAAACUGACUACAUCUACUCCUGUCAAGGGUAGUCUCUCAAGCAAGCCACCUGAUCCACUUGCAUAAAGAAUCAGAGGGAGAUCAGGAUGGGUUAGUUUCACUGCCUCAACUAUCUGUUUUAAGUAUGGUAGACUGAACUCCUCAAAAUCGACUGGGCUUAGCUCUGUGGCCCAUGAAUCAAAGAUCUGAACUGCUUGAGCUCCAUGGUCAGCUUGAUAACGGAUAUAUUUAGCCAUUGAGGUUGCAAAUAUUUGAAGCAGCGAAUGAAGGACCUUGGGCUCCGCAAAAGCUAAUCUCUUAAUUUUUGUAAAGUUCUUAGAGGAACCACCUUCAACCACAUAUGAAGCCAACGUAAAUGGUGCCCCAACGAAACCCAGAACUGCUGCUUGAUUAUUUACCUCUUUCCGCAAAAUUGUUAAUGCUUCUCCAACAUAUGGAACUGAUUCUUCAGGAAUAAAUUCUCUAACUUUCUCAACAUCAGAAAGUGUGGUCGGUGGAUCAAAUAUGACAGGACCCUUCCCCUUUAUAAUGUCAAAAGGGAUGUUCAUACCAGAGAGAGGAGUAAGAAUAUCUGAAAACAAAAUGACCCCAUCAGGCUGGAAU